rnacentral:rRNA from 1 species
GAUGAACGCUGACAGAAUGCUUAACACAUGCAAGUCGAUGGGGAAGUGGUGCUUGCCCCAUGGCAACCAUGGCGGACGGGUGAGUAACGCGUAAGGGACUUACCUGCAGGACUGGGAUAACAGGGGGAAACUCCUGACAAGACCGGAUAAUGUCAUGGAGCUGCAUGGCUUUAUGAUGAAAGGAGACGCCUGCGGAGAGCCUUGCGUCCUAUUAGCUAGUUGGUGAGGUAAUGGCUCACCAAGGCGAAGAUAGGUAGCCGGCCUGAGAGGGUGGACGGCCACAAGGGGACUGAGAUACGGCCCUUACGCCUACGGGAGGCAGCAGUGGGGAAUAUUGGACAAUGGGGGCAACCCUGAUCCAGCAAUUCUGUGUGCACGAAGAAGGUUUUCGGAUUGUAAAGUGCUUUCAGCAAGGAAGAAGUAAGUGACGGUACCUGCAGAAGAAGCGACGGCUAAAUACGUG